UACGUAGGUGGCAAGCGUUGUCCGGAUUUACUGGGCGUAAAGAGCGCGCAGGCGGUUGUGCAAGUCGCGUGUGAAAGCCCCCGGCUCAACUGGGGAGGGUCACGCGAUACUGCUCGACUCGAAGGCAGGAGAGGGAAGUGGAAUUCCCGGUGUAGUGGUGAAAUGCGUAGAGAUCCGGAAGAACACCGGAGGCGAAGGCGGCUUGCUGGGCGUGAUCUGACGCUGAGGCGCGAAAGCGUGGGGAGCGAACAGG
rnacentral:rRNA from 1 species